GACGAACGCUGGCGGCGUGCUUAACACAUGCAAGUCGAACGGUGAAGCCCAGCUUGCUGGGUGGAUGAGUGGCGAACGGGUGAGUAACACGUGAGUAACCUGCCCCCUUCUUCUGGAUAACUGCCUGAAAGGGUAGCUAAUACGGGAUAUUCUGGCCUGCUCGCAUGGGUGGGUUUGGAAAGGUUUUUUCUGGUGGGGGAUGGGCUCGCGGCCUAUCAGCUUGUUGGUGGGGUGAUGGCCUACCAAGGCUUUGAUCAGUAGCUGGUUUGAGAGGAUGAUCAGCCACAAUGGGACUGAGACACGGCCCAU
rnacentral:rRNA from 1 species